GUACUCGCUUCGGCAGUACAUAUGCUAAAAUUGGAAUGAUACAGAGAAGAUUAGCAUGACCCCUGCGCAAGGAUGACACGCAAAAUCGUGAAGCGUUCCACAUUUUU
rnacentral:snRNA from 1 species